rnacentral:tRNA from 1 species
ACCCAGUGCUUACGGUAGAGCAUCAGACUUUUAAUCUGAGGGUCCAGGGUUCAAGUCCCUGCUCGGGUG